rnacentral:sRNA from 10 species
AGGAUNAAUNGUCAUNNACGGGAUUAUCCCCGCUGACGAAAGCGCCAUUUUCGACNAUCGUCACGCCUUUUGUCUGCAGAAAAUAAGGGCAGUACCUUCAUUUUAGCGUCAGGUGGAUGUUUUUGCUCUUAUUUCGAUCAUGAANUAAANCGGGAAAA